rnacentral:rRNA from 1 species
UACGUAGGGGGCAAGCGUUGUCCGGAUUUAUUGGGCGUAAAGAGCGUGUAGGCGGCCAGGUAGGUCUGCUGUGAAAACUCGAGGCUCAACCUCGAGAUGUCGGCGGAAACCAUCUGGCUAGAGUCCGGAAGAGGAGAAUGGAAUUCCCGGUGUAGUGGUGAUAUGCGUAGAUAUCGGGAGGAACACCUGUGGCGAAGGCGGCUUUCUGGGCCUUACCUGACGCUGAGACGCGAAAGCGUGGGGAGCGAACCGG